UACGAAGGGGGCUAGCGUUGCUCGGAAUCACUGGGCGUAAAGCGCACGUAGGCGGACUCUUAAGUCGGUGGUGAAAUCCUGGAGCUCAACUCCAGAACUGCCUUCGAUACUGGGAGUCUCGAGUUCGGGAGAGGUGAGUGGAACUGCGAGUGUAGAGGUGAAAUGCGCAGAUAUCAGGAGGAACACCGAUGGCGAAGGCAGCUCGCUGGGACGGUACUGACGCUGAGGCGCGACAGCGUGGGGAGCAAACAGG
rnacentral:rRNA from 1 species